rnacentral:rRNA from 1 species
CUACGGGUUGCACCAGUGGGGAAUAUUGCACAAUGGGCGCAAGCCUGAUGCAGCCAUGCCGCGUGUAUGAAGAAGGCCUUCGGGUUGUAAAGUACUUUCAGCGGGGAGGAAGGGAGUAAAGUUAAUAACUUUGAUAAUUGACGUUACCUGCAGAAGAAGCACCGGCUAACUCCGUGCCAGCAGCCGCGGUAAUACGGAGGGUGCAAGCGUUAAUCGGAAUUACUGGGCGUAAAGCGCACGCAGGCGGUUUGUUAAGUCAGAUGUGAAAUCCCCGGGCUCAACCUGGGAACUGCAUCUGAUACUGGCAGGCUAGAGUGUCGAAGAGGGGGGUAGAAUUCCAGGUGUAGCAGUGAAAUGCGUAGAGAUCUGGAGGAAUACCGGUGGCGAAGGCGGCCCCCUGGACGAAGACUGACGCUCAGGUGCGAAAGCGUGGGGAGCAAACAGGAUUAGAUACCCUUGUAGUC